rnacentral:rRNA from 1 species
UACCAGCACCCGAGUGGUCGGACGAUUAUUGGGCCUAAAGCAUCCGUAGCCGGUCCUACAAGUCUUCCGUUAAUCCACCUGCUUAACAGAUGGGCUGCGGAAGAUACUAUAGGGCUAGGAGGCGGGAGAGGCAAGCGGUACUCAGUGGGUAGGGGUAAAAUCCUCUGAUCCAUUGAAGACCACCAGUGGCGAAGGCGGCUUGCCAGAACGCGCUCGACGUGAGGGAUGAA